GUGCUCACUUCGGCAGCACAUACAUGAAAACUGGAACAACACAGAGAUUAGCGUGGCUUCUGUGCAGGGAUGACAUGCAAAUUUGUGAAGAGCUCUUUCAGAUA
ensembl:snRNA U6 U6 spliceosomal RNA